rnacentral:rRNA from 1 species
CACGUAGGGGGCAAGCGUUGUCCGGAUUUAUUGGGCGUAAAGAGCGUGUAGGCGGCCUGGCAGGUCCGUUGUGAAAACCCGAGGCUCAACUUCGGGACGUCGAUGGAAACCGCAGGGCUAGAGUCCGGAAGAGGAGAGUGGAAUUCCCGGUGUAGCGGUGAAAUGCGCAGAUAUCGGGAAGAACACCCGUGGCGAAGGCGGCUCUCUGGGACGGUACUGACGCUGAG